GCUCCAAAAUCUCUAUCUUACCCUCCCUCUAGAUUUGCAUGUUUACACAUUACUGUUACCCCUAUUAUAGUAUUAUUUAAACAGCCCAAUCCUUCUGUUUUCAUCUCACCGAAUGAAUAUCUUGCCCUAGCCAAGCAAGAGAUUGUGCUUCUGCGUGGUUGAACUCUUAUGCCUUACUGUCAUGGUGGUGUAGUAAACAUAUAUCUUCAUUUUGAUAUUCGGCUGUUGAUUGGUUGAAACUUGGGAGGAAGCUUGUUGCAGCUAUAUAUGUUGCAUUGCAGUCAAUCGGUGAAGAUUUGCUUGGAGAAUGUAAAGAUACAGUUUUAUUUAGAUAGUCACAGGAUAUUUAAUUGGGUCUAGUCACAGGAUAUUUAGAUAGAUGAAGAUGUUUUGUUGGGCACUUCGUUGUUGAGUUCAGUUGAUUCAUGAUGCUAAAUUUAUAUUAACAUCUUAUUUGUGAUCAUACAUUCGAAUGUGUAAUUGAUGAACUUUUUCAAAUUUUAUUAUCAUCAUGUUUA